GGUUAAGUGAAUAAGGGCGCACGGUGGAUGCCUUGGCACUAGGAGCCGAUGAAGGACGGGACUAACACCGAUAUGCUUUGGGGAGCUGUAAGUAAGCUAUGAUCCAGAGAUUUCCGAAUGGGGGAACCCAAUAUCUUUUAUAGGAUAUUACUUUUCAGUGAAUACAUAGCUGAUUAGAGGUAGACGCAGAGAACUGAAACAUCUUAGUACCUGCAGGAAGAGAAAGAAAAUUCGAUUCCCUGAGUAGCGGCGAGCGAAACGGGAAGAGCCCAAACCAACAAGCUUGCUUGUUGGGGUUGUAGGACUCC
rnacentral:rRNA from 2 species